GACGAACGCUGGCGGCGUGCUUAACACAUGCAAGUCGAACGAAAAGAGGGAAAGAGCUUGCUCUUUCCGGAAUUGAGUGGCAAACGGGUGAGUAACACGUAAACAACCUGCCUUCAGGAUGGGGACAACAGACGGAAACGACUGCUAAUACCGAAUAAGUUCCAAGGGCCGCAUGGCCCAUGGAAGAAAAGGUGGCCUCUACCUGUAAGCUAUCGCCUGAAGAGGGGUUUGCGUCUGAUUAGCUGGUUGGAGGGGUAACGGCCCACCAAGGCGACGAUCAGGAGCCGGUCUGAGAGGAUGAACGGCCACACUGGAAUUGAGACACGGUCCAGACUCCUACGGGAGGCAGCAGUGGGGAAUCUUCCGCAAUGGGCGAAAGCCUGACGGAGCAACGCCGCGUGAGUGAUGACGGCCUUCGGGUUGUAAAACUCUGUGAUCCGGGACGAAAAGGCAGAGUGCGAAGAACAAACUGCAUUGACGGUACCGGAAAAGCAAGCCACGGCUAACUACGUG
rnacentral:rRNA from 1 species